ensembl:lncRNA
GAAAGGACAGAUGAACCUCACAAUAAUCAACCUUAUUCAACAGAUUGAGGCGACGAGAGAAAUGGUGCGAAAAGCAAAAUUCCAGAUUGAAAGCCAAAUGGCAGGAAGUCAGAUGGAGAUGACAGACCAAGAGGAGAUGAAUGCUGAGAUGCAGAGGCUCAUUCUGGAGAUUGAACACAUCCGUGAAAUGCUGCGAGGUCUUAAGGGUGAGGUGGAACACAACAAGGAAAUGAUGAAGAGAGACAGGGAUGAGAUGAGGCUGCUGAAGAAUGAAGUUCAGCGAAGGAGAAGAGAGAUUGAAUACAGAGAAGAAAAGAUUAUAAGAGAACGGGACAAACUAGAACUCAUGAGAAAUAUGUUGCAGCGGCAAAGAGAGGAACUGGAGGAGAGGUUGGAGGAGACCAUUAAAGAGAAUGAUAAGGUGGAGCAGAUGAGAGAUGAUGUGAAAAAUGCCUUGGAGAACAUAGAACGGGCCAAAAAAGAGAUAAAGAGAGAGAAAGAACUCAUUGCUCAAGAAAAGACAGGAAAAGAAAAGGUUCAACCAGCCAUCAUUCCAACCGAGAGCCAAGAGUAUGCAAAAACAGAAGAACCAGCUGCCAUUAAAGUGGAAGACUUUGUCAGUGAUAGACAGAAAGAAAGACAAAAACUGGAACAAUAUAAAGAAAUCCUUUUAAUAGAGAAACAUGAACUAGAGAAGACAAAGGAGGAUGUACAAGCGCUGCAGAAUAAAACUGAAGAGAUGAUGACAAAAUUACAAGAGGAGGAAAAGGAGAUGGAAAAGAAACAAGCGAGUCUACAAAACUGGGAAAGACUGCUGCAAUCAGAAAGAGAGGAGAACCAGAGAGGUUUAGAUGUAAUAUGGAAAGAGAAGAAGCAGCUGGAUCAAAGAAAACAAGAACUAGACAAUAUGGAAAUAAAUCUACAGAGAGAGAAAUAUGAAUUGGAAAAAACAAGAAAGAUUAAGCAAGCUGAUGUGCAAGUCCAAACUGAUGUGAUGGAUGAUGUAGGAAAACAUCAGAUGAUCUUGACCAUGGAGGAGCUGGAUAAAGAGCGACAAGCACUAGAGUAUUUCAAAAAAGACUUACUUGCACAAAAAAGUACAAUUGAGAGACAACUGGCAGAAAUAAAAAUGAGCAAGGAUGAAUUUUCGCUCAAAGAAGUCGCACUGCAAACUGCAACAAAACACGCAGCAGACAUGGAGUUGCAAUUAGAACAGCGAAAACAGGAGCUAGAACAAACAAAAGAUGAGCUGGAAAAGACAAAGCUAGAAAAAGAAGACAUGAUAAGAACAGAAUUAGAAAAAGCAAGAGAUGUCCUAAAUCACAUUAGACAGGAUAUAGAAAAACAAAAACAAACCAUGGAGGCUGAUCUAAAAGACACUUUUGCUAGAGAACUAGAAGACAUCGAAGCUCAGCAAAAAAGGAUAGAGGAUGAAAAGAGAACAUUAGAGAACAUGAAAUAUGAGCUGGAAAAGGAGUCUAGUGAUGUUGAAAGGUUAAAACAGAAUGUGCAGAAAGAAAGACAGAACAUGGAGAAAUGGGCAGAGCAGCUCAAAAAAGAGAGGGAGGAACUAGAAAAGAAAAUGUGUGAUAUUCAACAAAUACAAGCACAGAUAGUGAGAGAAAAGAAAGAGCUAGAGAAUUCGAGAGAGGAGAAUGAGCAGACAUUGAAGGAGAUCAUAAUGGAGAGAGACACUCUUGAGAAACAAAAAGAUGAUUUUGAGAAUGAGAAGGAAGAAAUCAAGAAAAGAGAAAAUGAACUGCAGCAAAUGCAAGCUGAUCUUAACAGACAACAAAAAGACAUGCAUGAUAUUCAGAAUAUAGUUUUCAUGCAAAAAAGUCAACUUCAGAUAAGCCAAGAGGAAAUAGCUGAAAAGCUAAAACAGGUCGAUAACAUCAUGCAGUUCACACAAAAUGAAAAAGACAGUCUUGACAGAGAGAGGGCGGCUAUAAUGGAGCAGAAGCAGCAGAUGGAGAGAAACAUGACAGAUGCACUAAACAGAGAACUGGAAACUGUGGAACUUGUGAAACAAGAGAUACUAAAUGAGAAGCGACUUAUUGAGGACUGCAGAAUAGCUUUAAUGAGAGAGAUACAAGAUUUGGAGCAAAAGAAAAUCAAUUUGGGGGCUCAGGCGGAUGAGAUAAAAUUACAAAGACAAAGUAUUGCAGAAGAGAAAAACACGUUGGAACAAACGAAAUCUUUGCUGCAAAGAGUAGCUGAAGAUACUGAGAAGCUAAGACAAGAUACACAAGCUGAAAGACAUAAAAUUAAAAACACUGCUGUGCAACUUCAGAAAGAGAGAGAUGCCAUUGUGAGUCUUGCAGAGGAGACAAAAAGGAAGAGGGAGGACCUGGACAAAAUGCAAACUGAUAUAGAAAAGCAGGAAAAAGCCAUGAAGGCUAAUCUGCAAAAAGAAGCCAGUGUCAUUGAAAAUUUAAGACAAGCUGUUCAAAAUGACAUACAAAACAUAAAAGAUAUGGAAGCCAAAAUUCUAAAAGAAAGACAAUACACUUAUAGUCUAGUUGAAGAGACUGAAAAAAGGUCAAAAGCUCUAGAUGAGCUACAUAUGGAGGUUGAAAAAGAAAAGCAAUGUGUUGAGUCUGAGAGAGAUGUGCUAGAACAGGAGAAGUUUAAGCUUAAAGAACUCAAAGAUGAAUUUGCUCAGCAAAAAGAACAGAACAGUAUUAUACUGGCAGAGAUACAGAAAGAAAGAGACAAUCUUAAGCAGUUGAUUGAAACCAUCUCAAAUCAAAGGUGCAUUGUUGAAAAUGAUAAAGAAAAUUUAAGACUGAGAGAAAAUGAACUGAAACAAAAAGAAGCAGAGAUGGAAAACAAACAAAAACAAAUAGAUGAGUUGAAGAGCAUUUUAAGGAUGGAAAAGAUGCAAGUUGAGCAGAUGCAAGCUGACCAAGAUCAACACAGGACAGCUGCACAUGAAAAAAUACAAUAUGUUAAGACUGUAAGAGAAAGAGAAGCGGCAGAUCUGGAGAAAGAGAGACAGGAAAUUGAGAAUUUGAGAGAAGAAUUGAGGGUAGAAUAUGAAAAUGUGGAGCUCCUAAAGGAAAAUCUAACUGAACAAAAAGAAGUAUUUAAAAGCCACAUGAAAUCACUGGAAAUGGAUAAGGACGACAUAGAGAAAAAUAAAGCCAAACUGCACAAAGAAUUUGAAAACUUGCAGUUUCACAGGCAAUCUUUUGAGAAAGAGAUACAGCAGGUGAGAGCUGAGCUUCAGAAAGAGACUGACAAUACUGAGAGAAUAAAGAAAGAGGUGGUGGCUGAAAAGCAGAGUAUAAAAGACAUGGCAGCUCAAAUUGAACAUGAGGGAAAUGACAGAAAAGAAGCUCUGGAGAGGAUGCGUCUUGAGCUAGAAAAACAAAAGCAAACAACUGAGACUGAAAAAGAUAUACUAGAAAAACAGAAAUCUGAAGUGGAGAGAAGCAAAACAGAGAUAGCUAGAGCAGAAGAAGAUCUUGCUGAAAAGAGAAAAAUGUAUGAUAUUGAUCGGUCAGAGAUAGAGAAGCAAACAAAUUCCCUUGAGCAAAUAAAGAUGAACAUCUCACAAGCGGAACAUGAUAUUAAAAAAGCCAAGGACAGUUUAAGACAUCAAGAAAAUGAACUGAAUAUACGUACCUCACAACUUUAUGCACAACAAAAAGAAAUAGAAGAGACUCAGGAUAUUAUCAUGAAACAGAAGAGUCAGCUUAAUGAAAAGCAGGAUGAAAUAGAAAAACAAAAGCGAGAACUGGAGAAUGUGAUGGACAGACUUGAGAAAGAGAGGACUGAUGUUAUGGAAGAAAGACAAAGAGUGAAUGACAUGCAAGUAGAACUGAAGAGGGAAAGUGAAAUAGUGGAGCUGAUGAAACAAGAAGUUCUCAGAGAAAAAGAAUCUAUUGAAAACAGCAGGAAAAUACUAAAAAGAAAUCAAGAGGAUAUUCAAGAAAAUAGAACCAUCUUAUCGCAAGAGUUUGAGACCUUAAACUACCAGAAACAAUUGAUUGGCAAAGAAAAGCAGGAAUUUUAUAAGAUGAAAACUGAGCUCCAACAGGAAAAGGAAAAUAUUGCUAAACUAAGGGAAGACAUAGAAAAUGACAGGCAGAAGGCUGAGGAAAUAGCAAACAAACUUCAAAAAGAAAAGGAAGUUAUAGAGACUUCUUUUGCAAGGCUAAGAUCAGAGGAAGCAGAUUUAAGAAAACAAAAACAAUCAAUUGAAUCUGAAAAGGAAAAGUCUGUCCUGGAGAAAACUAAAACAGAGAUAUCCAGAGCGAAAGAAGAUCUUGAGAACCAACUUGAAUCACAUAAAAGGCAAAAUGAAGUAACACUGGCUGAGAUACACAAAGAGAAACACAUUCUUGAGCAGUUAAGAAUGAACAUAUCAAGACAGAGAGAUGAUCUAGAAAAGGACAUUGAGCAAACAAGAUACAAACAAGCAGAGCUGCAAAGUCUAAAAAUGGAAAUUCAGAAACAGCAAACAGAGAUAGAUGAGCAGAAGGUGAUGAUUUCCAUGCAGAAGAGUGGGCUUAAAGACAUAAAAAUUCAAAUAGAUCAACAGAAAAAAGAGACAGAUGAAACCAAAGAACAGAUAAGGAAGGAGAGAGAUUAUAUCGAGAGGGAAAGAGCAGAAAUAAUUAAUCAAAAACAGCAUAUGGAGGUAAAUUUAAGGGAAGAACUAAAAAAGAAGAGUGAAAAGUUAGAACUGCUCAGAAAGGAGUUGUAUGAUGAAAAGGAAAGAAUUGACAACUGCAGGAAAAAAAUAAAAACAGAUAUGGAUGCUUUGGAACAAACAAAGCAUGAUGUAGUUAAAGAGUUGGAGAUUAUCAAGCUUCAGAAACAAAUGAUCGAGGAUGAGAAAAACAAGACUGAGCAGAUAAAAGCUCAGCUAAAAAGAGAAGCUGAAGACAUCGAGAAGAUAAAAGUAGUGACACAAAAUGAAAGACAGAAGCUUCAGGAAGCAACAACCCACCUUCAGAAAGAUAGAGACAAUGUUCAGAGUCUUGCAGAGGAACUUGACAAGAAAAAAGUGGCUCUAGAAAAUGUGCAACGGGAGAUAGAAAUGCAAAGGAAAGCAAAUGAGUCUAAUAAACAGAUGCAAGAAAGGGCUCUGUUUGAGCUGAAGAAAACUGUGACAGAUAUAGCAAGAGCGAAGGAGGAUCUUGAAAACCAGCUUGUUGAAGAAAGAGAAAAGAACAAGAUCACACUAGCAGAAAAAGACAUGCUUCUUCUACUGAGAGACAGUAUUUCAGAGCAACAGGAUAACAUUGCAAAUGAGAGAGAGCAAAUGGAAGACAUCAGAGAAGCAAUCAAACUAGAGAGGGAACUGGAACAAGAGAAAAUUGAAAUGGAUGAUGACAGGAAGAUGACUGAACAGGAAAGAAAAGACCUGGAAAAGAUGCGGUCUGAAACAAUGACACAAAGAGGGCAAAUGGAAGACAUGAGAGAAAACUGAAAUUGAUCAUGAGCAGAAGAAAAUGGAUGAUGACAGAAAGAUGAUUGAACAGGAAAGAAAAGAGCUGCAUAAGAUGAGGUCGGACAUAAUGACAGAAAGAAAGCAAAUGGAAGACAUGAGAGAAGCAAUCAAACUAGAGAGGUCCGCAUUUGACCAGAAAAAGCAAGAGAUUGAUCAAGAAAAGGAUGAAAUUGAAAAGAACAAAGAAAUAGAACUUGACCAUGAAAGACAAAAGAUCACUGAUGAAAAAUAUCUUCUAGCUCAAAGUAAGACAGAAAUGCAAAACGAAAGUGAACAAAUCAGAUACAUGGAGGAAAAAAUAAAGAAGGAGAGAGAAACA